AUUGUAAAGAGAACUCGGGAGGGAGAGGAAGAGAUGGCACGAGCAUGUAGAAGAUGUUAAAUAGACAGAAUUAAGGAAAAAGUAUGAAGUAAACUGAAGAGAUGACAAGAUGACAAAGUGAGAGGCUGAAAUGGAUCAUAAAAGAGCAAUAGAGGUAUAUUUCAAGUUUUUGGAACGAGGAAUGAACGACAGGUAACACAGUAAACUGAAUCCAAAUUGGCCUUUGCUUCCUUUCAGAAAAAUAAGAGAGAAGGUAAAAAGGAGAAGAA
rnacentral:lncRNA from 1 species